GCUUGCUUUUCAAAACUUAGCGGCGGACGGGUGAGUAACACGUGGGCAACCUGCCCUUGAGACGGGGAUAACUCCGGGAAACCGGAGCUAAUACCGGAUAACACAUAUCUUCGCAUGAGGAUAUGUUAGAAGGUGGCUUUUAGCUACCACUCAAGGAUGGGCCCGCGGCGCAUUAGCUAGUUGGUGAGGUAACGGCUCACCAAGGCGACGAUGCGUAGCCGACCUGAGAGGGUGAUCGGCCACACUGGGACUGAGACACGGCCCAGACUCCUACGGGAGGCAGCAGUAGGGAAUCUUCCGCAAUGGACGAAAGUCUGACGGAGCAACGCCGCGUGAGUGAUGAAGGUUUUCGGAUCGUAAAGCUCUGUUGUUAGGGAAGAACAAGUACCUGUUAAAUAAGCAGGUACCUUGACGGUACCUAACCAGAAAGCCACGGCUAACUACGUGCCAGCAGCCGCGGUAAUACGUAGGUGGCAAGCGUUGUCCGGAAUUAUUGGGCGUAAAGCGCGCGCAGGCGGUUCCUUAAGUCUGAUGUGAAAGCCCACGGCUCAACCGUGGAGGGUCAUUGGAAACUGGGGAACUUGAGUGCAGAAGAGGAGAGCGGAAUUCCACGUGUAGCGGUGAAAUGCGUAGAGAUGUGGAGGAACACCAGUGGCGAAGGCGGCUCUCUGGUCUGUAACUGACGCUGAGGCGCGAAAGCGUGGGAGCGAACAGGAUUAGAUACCCUGGUAGUCCACGCCGUAAACGAUGAGUGCUAAGUGUUA
rnacentral:rRNA from 1 species